CCUGUGUUUUAUUGACUGUCUUCCUGUCCCCAGGUGUCAACCACGAUGUCUGUCCUGUGUUUUAUUGACUGUCUUCCUGUCUCCAGGUGUCAACCACGAUGUCAGUCCUGUGUUUUAUUGACUGUCUUCCUGUCCCCAGGUGUCAACCACGAUGUCUGUCCUGUGUUUUAUUGACUGUCUUCCUGUCCCCAGGUGUCAACCACGAUGUCUGUCCUGUGUUUUACUGACUGUCUUCCUGUCCCCAGGUCUCAACCACGAUGUCUGUCCUGUGUUUUAUUGACUGUCUUCCUGUCCCCAGGUCUCAACCAUGAUGUCAGUCCUGUGUUUUACUGACUGUCUUCCUGUCCCCAGGUGUCAACCACGAUGUCUGUCCUGUGUUUUAUUGACUGUCUUCCUGUCCCCAGGUCUCAACCAUGAUGUCAGUCCUGUGUUUUAUUGACUGUCUUCCUGUCCCCAGGUGUCAACCACGAUAUCUGUCCUGUGUUUUACUGACUGUCUUCCUGUCCCCAGGUCUCAACCACGAUGUCUGUCCUGUGUUUUAUUGACUGUCUUCCUGUCCCCAGGUGUCAACCACGAUGUCUGUCCUGUGUUUUAUUGACUGUCUUCCUGUCCCCAGGUGUCAACCACGAUGUCUGUCCUGUGUUUUAUUGACUGUCUUCCUGUCCCCAGGUGUCAACCACGAUGUCAGUCCUGUGUUUUAUUGACGGUCUUCCUGUCCCCAGGUCUCAACCACGAUGGUAGUCCUGUGUUUUAUUGACGGUCUUCCUGUCCCCAGGUCUCAACCACGAUGGUAGUCCUGUGUUUUACUGACUGUCUUCCUGUCCCCAGGUCUCAACCAUGAUGUUAGUCCUGUGUUUUACUGACUGUCUUCCUGUCCCCAGGUCUCAACCAUGAUGUUAGUCCUGUGUUUUACUGACUGUCUUCCUGUCCCCAGGUCUCAACCAUGAUGUUAGUCCUGUAUUUUACUGACUGUCUUCCUGUCCCCAGGUCUCAACCAUGAUGUUAGUCCUGUGUUUUACUGACUGUCUUCCUGUCCCCAGGUCUCAACCAUGAUGUUAGUCCUGUGUUUUACUGACUGUCUUCCUGUCCCCAGGUCUCAACCAUGAUGGUAGUCCUGUGUUUUACUGACUGUCUUCCUGUCCCCAGGUCUCAACCACGAUGUCUGUCCUGUGUUUUAUUGACUGUCUUCCUGUCCCCAGGUCUCAACCAUGAUGGUAGUCCUGUGUUUUACUGACUGUCUUCCUGUCUCCAGGUGUCAACCAUGAUGUCAGUCCUGUGUUUUACUAACUGUCUUCCUGUCCCCAGGUCUCAACCAUGAUGUCAGUCCUGUGUUUUACUGACUGUCUUCCUGUCUCCAGGUGUCAACCACGAUAUCUGUCCUGUGUUUUAUUGACUGUCUUCCUGUCCCCAGGUCUCAACCAUGAUGUUAGUCCUGUGUUUUACUGACUGUCUUCCUGUCCCCAGGUCUCAACCAUGAUGUUAGUCCUGUGUUUUACUGACUGUCUUCCUGUCCCCAGGUCUCAACCAUGAUGUUAGUCCUGUGUUUUACUGACUGUCUUCCUGUCCCCAGGUCUCAACCAUGAUGUUAGUCCUGUGUUUUACUGACUGUCUUCCUGUCCCCAGGUCUCAACCAUGAUGUUAGUCCUGUGUUUUACUGACUGUCUUCCUGUCCCCAGGUCUCAACCAUGAUGUUAGUCCUGUGUUUUACUGACUGUCUUCCUGUCCCCAGGUCUCAACCAUGAUGUUAGUCCUGUGUUUUACUGACUGUCUUCCUGUCCCCAGGUCUCAACCAUGAUGUCAGUCCUGUGUUUUACUGACUGUCUUCCUGUCCCCAGGUCUCAACCAUGAUGGUAGUCCUGUGUUUUACUGACUGUCUUCCUGUCCCCAGGUCUCAACCAUGAUGGUAGUCCUGUGUUUUACUGACUGUCUUCCUGUCCCCAGGUCUCAACCACGAUGUCUGUCCUGUGUUUUAUUGACUGUCUUCCUGUCCCCAGGUCUCAACCAUGAUGGUAGUCCUGUGUUUUACUGACUGUCUUCCUGUCUCCAGGUCUCAACCAUGAUGUCAGUCCUGUGUUUUACUGACUGUCUUCCUGUCCCCAGGUCUCAACCAUGAUGUUAGUCCUGUGUUUUACUGACUGUCUUCCUGUCCCCAGGUCUCAACCAUGAUGUUAGUCCUGUGUUUUACUGACUGUCUUCCUGUCCCCAGGUCUCAACCAUGAUGUUAGUCCUGUGUUUUACUGACUGUCUUCCUGUCCCCAGGUCUCAACCAUGAUGUUAGUCCUGUGUUUUACUGACUGUCUUCCUGUCCCCAGGUCUCAACCAUGAUGUUAGUCCUGUGUUUUACUGACUGUCUUCCUGUCCCCAGGUCUCAACCAUGAUGUUAGUCCUGUGUUUUACUGACUGUCUUCCUGUCCCCAGGUCUCAACCAUGAUGUUAGUCCUGUGUUUUACUGACUGUCUUCCUGUCCCCAGGUCUCAACCAUGAUGUUAGUCCUGUGUUUUACUGACUGUCUUCCUGUCCCCAGGUCUCAACCAUGAUGUUAGUCCUGUGUUUUACUGACUGUCUUCCUGUCCCCAGGUCUCAACCAUGAUGUUAGUCCUGUGUUUUACUGACUGUCUUCCUGUCCCCAGGUCUCAACCAUGAUGGUAGUCCUGUGUUUUACUGACUGUCUUCCUGUCCCCAGGUCUCAACCAUGAUGUUAGUCCUGUG